rnacentral:rRNA from 1 species
AAUAGAUACCCGGGUAGUCCAUGCCGUAAACGAUGUCUACUAGCCGUUGGGGCCUUUGAGGCUUUAGUGGCGCAGCUAACGCGAUAAGUAGACCGCCUGGGGAGUACGGUCGCAAGACUAAAACUCAAAUGAAUUGACGGGGGCCCGCACAAGCGGUGGAGCAUGUGGUUUAAUUCGAUGCAACGCGAAGAACCUUACCUGGUCUUGACGUAGUAAGAACUUUCCAGAGAUGGAUUGGUGCCUUCGGGAACUUACAUACAGGUGCUGCAUGGCUGUCGUCAGCUCGUGUCGUGAGAUGUUGGGUUAAGUCCCGCAACGAGCGCAACCCUUUUCCUUAUUUGCCAGCGGGUUAAGCCGGGAACCUUAAGGAUACUGCCAGUGACAAACUGGAGGAAGGCGGGGACGACGUCAAGUCAUCAUGGCCCUUACGACCAGGGCUACACACGUGCUACAAUGGUCGGUACAAAGGGUUGCUACCUAGCGAUAGGAUGCUAAUCUCAAAAAGCCGAUCGUAGUCCGGAUUGGAGUCUGCAACUCGACUCC